rnacentral:misc_RNA from 1 species
UCGUAACAAGGUUUCCGUAGGUGAACCUGCGGAAGGAUCAUUACCGAGUGCGGGUCUUUAUGGCCCAACCUCCCACCCGUGACUAUUGUACCUUGUUGCUUCGGCGGGCCCGCCAGCGUUGCUGGCCGCCGGGGGGCGACUCGCCCCCGGGCCCGUGCCCGCCGGAGACCCCAACAUGAACCCUGUUCUGAAAGCUUGCAGUCUGAGUUGUGAUUCUUUGCAAUCAGUUAAAACUUUCAACAAUGGAUCUCUUGGUUCCGGCAUCGAUGAAGAACGCAGCGAAAUGCGAUAACUAAUGUGAAUUGCAGAAUUCAGUGAAUCAUCGAGUCUUUGAACGCACAUUGCGCCCCCUGGUAUUCCGGGGGGCAUGCCUGUCCGAGCGUCAUUGCUGCCCUCAAGCCCGGCUUGUGUGUUGGGCCCUCGUCCCCCGGCUCCCGGGGGACGGGCCCGAAAGGCAGCGGCGGCACCGCGUCCGGUCCUCGAGCGUAUGGGGCUUCGUCUUCCGCUCCGUAGGCCCGGCCGGCGCCCGCCGACGCAUUUUUUUGCAACUUGUUUUUUUCCAGGUUGACCUCGGAUCAGGUAGGGAUACCCGCUGAACUUAAGCAUAUCAAUAA